rnacentral:lncRNA from 1 species
GAGUUCAAUUGAGUCAUGGUUCAAUUAAAUCCUAAUUAAAUUAGGAUUUGGAGGAAAUUGAAAUGAGUGCAAAUCCUAUUUUGAAUAGGAUUGAAUCCUAGCACUUGGACCCAACUCUCGGGGCGCCGCGCACGAUGGGGGCGGCAGGGGCCCUUCGCCUCUGGGGUCCGGCGUCCCGGCGACAGGAUCGCAUCAGCGUCCACCAUCCGCCGUGUCCGUCCCCGCCGGCUGACCGCUCUUCGG